AUUGAACGCUGGCGGUAUGCUUAACACAUGCAAGUCGAACGGUAGCAGAAGAGAGCUUGCUCUCUUGCUGACGAGUGGCGGACGGGUGAGUAAUGCUUGGGAAUCUGCCUAGUAGUGGGGGACAACACGAGGAAACUCGUGCUAAUACCGCAUACGUCCUACGGGAGAAAGUGGGGGAUCUUCGGACCUCACGCUAUUAGAUGAGCCCAAGUCGGAUUAGCUUGUUGGUGAGGUAACGGCUCACCAAGGCGACGAUCCGUAGCUGGUUUGAGAGGAUGACCAGCCACACUGGGACUGAGACACGGCCCAGACUCCUACGGGAGGCAGCAGUGGGGAAUAUUGGACAAUGGGCGGAAGCCUGAUCCAGCAAUACCGCGUGUGUGAAGAAGGCCUGCGGGUUGUAAAGCACUUUCAAUUGUGAAGAAAAGACUUAGGGCUAAUACCUCUGAGUCUUGACGUUAACUUUAGUAAGAAG
rnacentral:rRNA from 1 species